ACCUGAAGUCACUGAGCUAACCCGCAAGGGAGGCAGGUGCCGAAGGUAGGGUCGGUGAUUGGGGUGAAGUCGUAACAAGGUAGCCGUAGGUGAACCUGCAGAAGGAUCA
rnacentral:rRNA from 1 species